UACGGAGGGUGCAAGCGUUGCUCGGAAUCACUGGGCGUAAAGCGUACGCAGGCGGCCAGGUAAGUUGGGUGUGAAAUCCCGGGGCUCAACCCCGGAACUGCAUUCAAAACUACCUGGCUUGAAUACGGGAGAGGGAAGCGGAAUUCCUGGUGUAGAGGUGAAAUUCGUAGAUAUCAGGAGGAACACCAGUGGCGAAAGCGGCUUCCUGGCCCGAUAUUGACGCUCAUGUACGAAAGCGUGGGGAGCAAACAGG
rnacentral:rRNA from 1 species